UCUCCUUUCAGCCUCUCGGAUGCGGCCACUUUGGGGAAUUACAUAAACUUGCAGUCAGCUGUACAGUCAUCAUGUGUUACUCAACUUAAGGUCCUACUGAGUUAACGUCACAAACUGGAUUCCAGACCUUGGGAUGCUGUUAAAAAAGGCCUACAUCUAUGUUGCAUCAACAAGCUACAACUGUUUCCAACUAGAAUCAAAAUAUAAAAAGUUAAUCGACUUAUUAUCUGAAAUCUGAUCAUUCGUAGUUCUUUAAGGCAAGAGCACACAUGGAGAUGUGAAGCUCUUUCCGACGAGCGUCAUCAGACGUUAAAGUGUGAAUGACGAUUCUUUCUUUUAGAUCGUGAAAUUUGGCAUACCAAGAAGCCUUUCGGAGAAGAGGUGAAAGGUCUUCAGGAUGUGUCCAGUUGCCUUUUCAAGGUAUACAUUGCAAUGACCUGGAUGACCUUCACAGACAAACAGAAAAUUCCUCACAGGUGCUUCAAGAGUCAAAGUCAGUCAAAGUUACAGAUGUGCAGCAGUAAAGUUACAAUGAGAAAGCAAA